UACGAAGGGGGCUAGCGUUGCUCGGAAUCACUGGGCGUAAAGGGUGCGUAGGCGGGUCUUUAAGUCAGGGGUGAAAUCCUGGAGCUCAACUCCAGAACUGCCUUUGAUACUGAGGAUCUUGAGUUCGGGAGAGGUGAGUGGAACUGCGAGUGUAGAGGUGAAAAUUCGUAGAUAUUCGCAAGAACACCAGUGGCGAAGGCGGCUCACUGGCCCGAUACUGACGCUGAGGCACGGAAGCGUGGGGAGCAAACAGGG
rnacentral:rRNA from 1 species